rnacentral:misc_RNA from 1 species
UGCCCCACUCGCCGGUGC